UACGGAGGGUGCGAGCGUUAUUCGGAAUUAUUGGGCGUAAAGAGCGCGUAGGCGGUCUCUUAAGUCAGAUGUGAAAGCCCAGGGCUCAACCCUGGAAGUGCAUUUGAAACUAAGGGACUUGAGUAUGGGAGAGGGAAGUGGAAUUCCUGGUGUAGCGGUGAAAUGCGUAGAUAUCAGGAGGAACAUCGGUGGCGAAGGCGACUUCCUGGACCAAUACUGACGCUGAGGCGCGAAGGCGUGGGGAGCAAACAGG
rnacentral:rRNA from 1 species